rnacentral:sRNA from 1 species
ACCCUCCUGUAAGUCAGUGUGUCAGCACUCUUGGGAGUCCAGCUCUCUCCUGAGGAGAGAGCUGUGGCACAGAAUCACCUUCGGGCACAGAGGGAAACUGGAAGGUGAGUAAACUCAUUCUUAUUCUGAAUAACCAGAGAAAUAUUCCAAGACUUCUAUUUCUAAAGGAAUACAAGUUAAAAUCAAAGUCCCUUUUAAAAUGUUUUCCAUGUGUCUCGGAUUUUUCUUAGUAUGAAUUAUAUCACUAUGUUAAGGAAUCCCAUUUGAAUUUUGAUGAUAGGUUUUGCAUUUGUCCCCUCUUCAUUAUUUUUAAUAUAGACUGGAAAACUUAACAAUCUGUGCUGAUGUACUAUCAUGUGUCCAUUGCUGAACCAUGUUGGUCUGUUUUCUCUAUUUUCUAAAACACUUAUCUGGAAGUUUAGAAUUACCAGAUUCUUCCUAAAACAUAAGAGUAACCUCAAAUGUAUUCUGUUAUAUUUUUAUGUGCCCCAGGUUAAACUAUGAAUAAUCAUUGAUAUUGUAAAAUGUUCUUGAAACAUAAAAUCCAUAGAAAGCUCACUACUGACUUUUUAUAGACAUUGGUGAGUGGUUGUUGUUGCUGCUGCUGUUCUUGUUGUUAGGCACAUUUUCUUGACCAGAGUGAUUUCUGUAAGGGCUGACCCUGCCCUGCUGAGACUGCCCUGAGAUAACAGCUUGGCAAUACCUAACUAACUUUAAUGAAUUUUUCUCUGGAAAUUACUUCAAGUCUUUAUUUUCUUCCAAUGAAUCUAUCUUUUCAAAACUUGAGUCUAAGCCACAGACUCUUGAUAUCAUAGCUUUAUUCCAAAGUAAUUAAAAAAGUCUUCCAAGGUUUAUAAGUUUGAUCUUUCAGUUAAGAUAAAUAUAUAUGCUCUUCCUCCUUCUGACAAGGCCUAGCUUGCCAGCUAAGCAGCAAAGCAUAUGUCUUGCAUUAGAGACUCUUAUCAGGCUGAGAAGAUGCACUCCCACUUCCUGUUCAUACCAUGCGUACGUGCUGUGGAGCUAAAUUAUAAUCAUAGUUGCUUGUCUAUUUUUAAAGUGCAGUUGCAAUGUGAGUUCCUGGCUGCCGUUUAACAGUACAGCCAUACUGCUGCUUUCUCCGCAAGAUGCUAUUUAACAGUAUUUCUCUAGCUAAUUAUGGCAUAUCUUUAUUCCAAUAACUUUCUGGAAAUAAAUUAACCUUGCUCCCUCUCUGGGAAGUUUAUUUGGUAAAUAUGGUAUACAAGAAAUGUUUCUAGAAGCUGAAUAGAGUGAAGCAGUAGUCUGUACGGCACUCAUUUUUAAACAGAGAGAUAUAGAAAGGCAGAGUUGGUCUGACAAGCUAGUAUAAUGAUAAUAAUCUUGCUUUAGAAGGAAUGAUAGAUUAUUUUAAAUCAAAUAAAGCAUAUUUGACAUGUAUCCAUCACCUAUAGCAUAUACUCAGAAAAAUAAACUUCAGAAGUGGACUUGGCUUAUUAAUUGCUGAAGGGCCUUAAUAAUAGUUUAGUUUGGUUGCAUGCUCACAGUGUCUUGCUUGCAGAUAUUAAAUUAACUAGGUAAUGCUGGAGCCAGCAGCCAUAAUAAGUAGAGAUUUUUACAUAUAAGAUUCUGACAUCUCAGUGUAGUCAGGAGUUACGAUGAACGAGGAGAAGAGUAGAGACUGAGGUCAGACCUAGCUAGAGAGAAGAUGUGGACCUGAGUUACUAAUAUUCCCAUUUGACAGGAAGUUUAUCGCUUAGAAUAUAAAUGAGCACCGUGGGGAGGCAGGUCAGCAAGCCACAGAAUCAAUCUCUUUGAACUGUUUGCCUAGAGAAAACGAGUUCCUGAAGUUAUUCUUCAUAUGUUACAACUCUAUCAUUCCUCUUCAGAGCCCUCCUCAUUUUGGCUUCAAGAAGUUGAAGCAUUUGGGUUCAAACAUCUGUUGUUUCUGGAUGGCUUUAAAAUUCCAUUGCAAGCUCAAAAAUGCUCAAAUUGCAAGGCAUGUCCUUCUGCAAAGCUUCUCCAUGGUGUCUGCCCCUCUUUCUCACGAAUUUUCCAAGAACACUUCAUCUGGGCCUUUGACUUCUGUUUUGUUUCUCCCCACUUGGCAGAAACAGAAUGUAUUUCUUCCACACAAAUCCUAGUUUCAAAGACAAAAUUUGGGGCAUGGAAUGCCUUUCUCUGCUGAGUUUUUUCUUUAUGUUCUUGGAAUGCUCUGGAACGUAUGUAAAUACUUUUCAAAGUCAAGAUUCUUUUUUUUUAAACCUUCUUGGACUUACCAAUGCUUGGCUGUUCCGCACUAAUUUCUGCUAGUACGUUGCAAGUUCCCACCAGAUUUUUUGGAAAAAGAUAAUUGUGAUCUGAUAACCUUCAAAGGGUAGUUGGGACACAAAUGAGCUUCUUUUUCUGUGAUCCCUUUGCACUGUUGCUUUAGCCAUUCCAGAUGGGAAUGCAAUCAGCAAAGGGCAGAAUGUAUUUCUCACUGUUAGAGAGCAAUCUGACAGCCACUGAAGGACACAGACUCUUACCUGUCUCACACCAACCUACAGAACUUGGUAACUGCAUCCCUACAACAUUCUUAAUCCAUUGAAAGGUAAAGCUGCAUAGACAUUUAAGAAAAGUAGUGUUUAGGAGGGGGAAAUCAUCUAUUGCCAGAGUAGCUGAAGUGUGUGGUCCUUUAGAAUUUUUGGAGUUGGAUGAGUGAUAUAAUAAUUCCAACUUUUCAGAAAAAAAAAUGACUCUUGGUAUUGACUUUCUUCACAAAGUCACAAAUAUAAAGAAAAAACUUACAAGAUUUCUUUUCCUUUUUUUCCUCAAGCUAGUAAUGAUUAUAAGUUAAUACAACAAGUGUUGUCCUAAAGACUGUGGCUUAUGAAGUAAAUUAUUUAUAGCAAAAUCCUCCAAAAGGUCUUGGUCUUCAAGGGCCUUACCAUCCCAGUAGUUAAUUCUUGGAUCCUUACUGUCCGUUCUAUGAUGACAGUAGUAGCCACCCACCUUCUAGUCCUGUGAGUCAUUAGCUCUAAUCUUCCCUUGGGCCUUCUGACCCUUUCAUCUCCAGAUAAAUAGACCAGUUUCAAAUCUAUCCCAGCCAUGCUCUCUGGACACCCCACCCCCACUCCUGGCUCUGCUAUCCCAUAGACGAAAUGGUGAUGUUUGGAAGGCUGCGUAUCUCAGAGUGUGCUCUGCGGUUUCCUCAUUUUCCUAGGUCCUUGAAAAAGCAUUGCUCACAAAUUAAGGCUCUAUUCCUUUUACGAAAUCAUUACAACUCCUUAUCUGUUGGCUAGAGGGGAUAAUAUUAGAUUUCAUCUUGCCUUUUAUUAUUACAUUUGUGAACAUUUAAAAUAAUCUGAGAAUGGAUUCCACAUUCCUUGACAGAGCUAUUUCUUUUUUGUCUUGUAGAGGGAUGCCACAGGCUUGUCACCAAGAGCAGGAGAUUCAGAAUUAGAUCUGACAUAAGGCCAACGUAUACUGGAGAGCUGUCUUUGCCAAUCUCCACUGUCACACAGCACGGUAGCAGCUCUCAAGAAUCUUACGUAAAGAAGCAGCUGCUUCCUGUGUCUUCUCUCCCUGGAGUUUAUAAACCCCACUCCUUGGUUCUGCAGCCCUCCCACACCUCUGCUUCUGCUUGCUGAAGGUUUGCAGAUAAACAAAGAUUAAGAACAAGACAACUUAGAUAUUCUCUCCCAAAGUUUCAUGCAGCAGCAGAUGGUUAAAAUCAGGUCAGUUGAUGUAGAAACCAGUAUGCUUUGUAAUAUGCUGGGGACCAACUGCAUUUAGGUUGACCCAAAGAAGGCUUUGUGGGUGGAUGACUUGACUGAUUUAUGAAACACUAUCAACAGAGGGAAAAUGGUAGGAUAGCCACCCCUUGUAUAAGUGUUCCAGCACACAAAUCCCUCAGAGCGCUCUCUCUCUCUCUC